CUCUCCUUAACCAUGAGGAAUGGGAACUAUUUUGAUGCAUCGCAAAUCUGAGGGUAUAAAGUUGAUGGACCAGCAGUUGUUAACUGCAUGCAAAAGAAUACUGAGGCUUCCUCCAGACAGCGCUCUGAGCAUGUCAUACUUGACUCCAUCACAACCUGCAACAGUAGCUCUCUUUCUGGAAUGUAAAACAUACAUUAGCUCAUGCAAUGAAAAGGGUGUGUUGCUGAGACUCCUAAAAGUAAUUGAAGCACAACCGCUUAAUUUUCGACUAGAAUGUCGAUGACCAUU